rnacentral:sRNA from 1 species
CGUUACUCGGCUUGGU